rnacentral:rRNA from 1 species
AACGAACGCUGGCGGCAGGCUUAACACAUGCAAGUCGAACGACAUAGUGGCAGACGGGUGAGUAACGCGUGGGAACGUACCCUUCACUACGGAAUAGCUUCUGGAAACGGAAGGUAAUACCGUAUACGCCCUUCGGGGGAAAGAUUUAUCGGUGAAGGAUCGGCCCGCGUUAGAUUAGUUUGUUGGUGGGGUAAUGGCCUACCAAGACUACGAUCUAUAGCUGGUCUGAGAGGAUGAUCAGCCACACUGGGACUGAGACACGGCCCAGACUCCUACGGGAGGCAGCAGUGGGGAAUCUUGCACAAUGGGCGAAAGCCUGAUGCAGCCAUGCCGCGUGAAUGAUGACGGCCUUAGGGUUGUAAAAUUCUUUCGCCAGGGAUGAUAAUGACAGUACCUGGUAAAGAAGCCCCGGCUAACUUCGUGCCAGCAGCCGCGGUAAUACGAAGGGGGCUAGCGUUGUUCGGAAUUACUGGGCGUAAAGCGCGCGUAGGCGGGCUAUUAAGCCAGAUGUGAAAGCCCGGGGCUCAACCCCGGAAUUGCAUUUGGAACUGGUAGCCUAGAGACCAGGAGAGGUUAGCGGAAUACCGAGUGUAGAGGUGAAAUUCGUAGAUAUUCGGUGGAACACCAGUGGCGAAGGCGGCUAACUGGACUGGUACUGACGCUGAGGCGCGAAAGUGUGGGGAGCAAACAGGAUUAGAUACCCUGGUAGUCCACACCGUAAACGAUGAAUGCUAGUUGUCUGCGCGCAUGCGUGCAGGUGACGCAGCUAACGCAUUAAGCAUUCCGCCUGGGGAGUACGGCCGCAAGGUUAAAACUCAAAGAAAUUGACGGGGGCCCGCACAAGCGGUGGAGCAUGUGGAUUAAUUCGAUGCAACGCGAAGAACCUUACCUGGGUUUGACAUGCACAGGACGACUGCAGAGAUGUGGUUUCCCUUGUGGCCUGUGUGCAGGUGGUGCAUGGCUGU